AAUUACUGGAUCAAUUUUUCCUAUAGAAAAUGCUACAUAAAAAUAGUAUCUAUUAUUUUAAUUAGUAAUUUUGGAAGUUUUUUAAUUAUUUAAUUUUAUACUCUCAGUUGAUCUAUUAAAUCUUAGUUUUUGUUUUGAUUAACUUAUUGGUGAUUUUCCUUUAUCAUUGUCUUAUCUUAGAGUACUUAUUUAAUUUACCCCUCUCUUCCUUGACCUAGAUAACAAUAAUGUCGACUUCCUUCACCAUAUGGUGCAGAAGCUUUUUCCACAGGAAAUGGGAACUCUUGAUUUUUUACACAGUCAACACUACUUCCGAGUAUUCAGAGCAAAUUUGCAGGCUGAUCCAAAUCUAUUGCAGCCUUUGCUUCAAGAAUUGGGGAGCCAAAAGCCUCAAAGAUUGAGGUUUAUUCAAGAGCAUCAGGAUGAUUUUCUUCGCUUUAUCAAUCAACCCGUUGAAGGUGGAGAAGGGAACACCAUAGACUUGGAGCAGCUGCAAGCAGCAAUGACACGGAUGGGCGUUCCAAGUGCUGCAGGGGCAGGGCCUAUUAAUUUUUUUCGGAACGAUCCACAGUUCCAAGAAUUGAGAGCUAGGGUGCAGGCUAGUCCACAUCUAUUGGAUGGUAUGCUUCAACACGUGGGGAACCAAAAUCCUCAUGCAUUGAGGUUUAUUCAAGAGCAUUGGGCUGACUUUAUUCACUUCAUCAAUGAACCCAUUGAAGGUGGACAAAGGAACAUCUUGGCCCUGGGGCAGCUGCAACCAGCAAUGCCACAGAUGGUAAUAGUUACACCUGAGGAACGUGAAG
rnacentral:misc_RNA from 1 species